rnacentral:rRNA from 1 species
AGAGUUUGAUCAUGGCUCAGAUUGAACGCUGGCGGCAGGCCUAACACAUGCAAGUCGAGCGGUAGAGAGAAGCUUGCUUCUCUUGAGAGCGGCGGACGGGUGAGUAAAGCCUAGGAAUCUGCCUGGUAGUGGGGGAUAACGUUCGGAAACGGACGCUAAUACCGCAUACGUCCUACGGGAGAAAGCAGGGGACCUUCGGGCCUUGCGCUAUCAGAUGAGCCUAGGUCGGAUUAGCUAGUUGGUGAGGUAAUGGCUCACCAAGGCGACGAUCCGUAACUGGUCUGAGAGGAUGAUCAGUCACACUGGAACUGAGACACGGUCCAGACUCCUACGGGAGGCAGCAGUGGGGAAUAUUGGACAAUGGGCGAAAGCCUGAUCCAGCCAUGCCGCGUGUGUGAAGAAGGUCUUCGGAUUGUAAAGCACUUUAAGUUGGGAGGAAGGGCAUUAACCUAAUACGUUAGUGUUUUGACGUUACCGACAGAAUAAGCACCGGCUAACUCUGUGCCAGCAGCCGCGGUAAUACAGAGGGUGCAAGCGUUAAUCGGAAUUACUGGGCGUAAAGCGCGCGUAGGUGGUUUGUUAAGUUGGAUGUGAAAUCCCCGGGCUCAACCUGGGAACUGCAUUCAAAACUGACUGACUAGAGUAUGGUAGAGGGUGGUGGAAUUUCCUGUGUAGCGGUGAAAUGCGUAGAUAUAGGAAGGAACACCAGUGGCGAAGGCGACCACCUGGACUGAUACUGACACUGAGGUGCGAAAGCGUGGGGAGCAAACAGGAUUAGAUACCCUGGUAGUCCACGC